rnacentral:sRNA from 1 species
UACCAGGGUCGAAAAGCCUUUCAGCCACAUGAGCUUGCUCAUAAGUGGAUGAAAGACCUUGAGACCCGCCCACUAUAUGAGCAUAAAAGUGGGAUGUUAAUCCCACGAUAUGCGAAUAGAGGGGAGGAUUGUGGGAGUGCAUAGCACGGAACAAUCCGUAGAUAUC